rnacentral:lncRNA from 1 species
UAAGUUGCAAGUGGUUGCAAAUGGUGAGAAUGAGUAACCUGCGGGGCCAAUACCAAUAUCAAAAAAGUAACCAUGAGAUUAACUAAAAGCAACCAAUUAAAUACACAUUCUCUUUUCAAUAUAAGACCAGCCCCCCUCCUUAUAUCUCUUUCAUCUCUCACUCUCAUCCUCUCUCUCAAUCUAUAAUUCCAACCUACACACAGAUUAAUACACAAAUUAUUAUCAACAGUUGAGAAACUUGCUCUAAAAAAAACAGUUCAGAAACUAAGAGAAAUAGAUGUAUAGAUAAUAGACUUCAUCACUGCGUUCCUCCGCCGGUGUCAUGCCGACCCUACAUUUACCUCCACCGCGUUCUCUCCUUUGACGACGUUGUUGCGAAGUCUGAGAAUGAUUACAAGGAGUGAGAAAAGAAGGAGGCUUCAAGAGAGAUUAAUGAUAGAGGGGAGGAGAGUGAGGGACAGUGAGAGGAGGGAAAUAAAAGAAUCAGAAGGGGUUGGGUUCAUCGAUUUUCUGAGUCAUGUGAGGCCAUAAGAUGGUGUUGUUUUUGAUCACUAAGUAACGUAUAAAUACAAAUGUCUCGAGUGGUUUUUUAAACAAAAUAAUAUAUUUACAACGAAUUAAAAGGAAUAGUAUUUUUGCAAUAAACAUGUCAAAAAUUAGUAUAAGUGCUAAGUUCCCUAAACUAUAUGUCAUAAGCCGCAUCUAUCUAAAUCAAAACCAAAAUCAUGGGAGCUCAUUCACUAAA